UACGGAGGGGGCUAGCGUUGUUCGGAAUUACUGGGCGUAAAGCGCACGUAGGCGGCUUUGUAAGUUAGAGGUGAAAGCCCAGGGCUUAACCCUGGAAUUGCCUUUAAGACUGCAUCGCUAGAAUCGUGGAGAGGUGAGUGGAAUUCCGGGUGUAGCGGUGGAAUGCGUAGAGAUCCGGAAGAACACCGGUGGCGAAGGCGGUCUGCUGGGCCAAGACUGACGGCUGAGGCGCGACAGCGUGGGGAGCAAACAGG
rnacentral:rRNA from 1 species